rnacentral:rRNA from 1 species
AAGUCGUAACAAGGUUUCCGUAGGUGAACCUGCGGAAGGAUCAUUAUCGUGGGGCUUCGGCCCUGUCGAGAUAGAACCCUUGCCUUUUUGAGUACCUUUCCGUUUCCUCGGCGGGCUUGCCCGCCAAUGGGGACCACAAAAAACACUUUGUAAUACCUGUAUUGUCUGAAAAACAAACAAAAAUUAAAACUUUCAACAACGGAUCUCUUGGUUCUGGCAUCGAUGAAGAACGCAGCGAAAUGCGAUAAGUAGUGUGAAUUGCAGAAUUCAGUGAAUCAUCGAGUCUUUGAACGCACAUUGCGCCCGCCAGUACUCUGGCGGGCAUGCCUGUUCGAGCGUCAUUUCAACCCUCAAGCCCUGCUUGGUGUUGGGGCCCUACGGCUGCCGUAGGCCCUGAAAGCUAGUGGCGGGCUCGCUAUAACUCCGAGCGUAGUAGUAAAAUAUCUCGCUAGGGAGGUGUCGCGGGUUCCGGCCGUGAAAGCCCAUCUUUUACACAAGGUUGACCUCNGAUCANGUAGGAAUACCCGCUGAACUUAA